rnacentral:rRNA from 1 species
AUUGAACGCUGGCGGCAGGCUUAACACAUGCAAGUCGAGCGGAAGAACCGGCUUUGCCCUUGGGUUUAGCGGCGCACGGGUGAGUAAUGCGUAGGAAUCUGCUUGGUAGUGUGGGAUAACGUCGGGAAACAGGCGCUAAUACUGCAUCCGAUCUGCGGGAGAAAGUGGGGGUUCUUCGGACCUCGCGCUAUCAGAUGAUCCUAGGUCGGAUUAGCUAGUUGGUGGGGUAACGGCCUACCAAGGCGACGAUCUGUAACUGGUCUGAGAGGAAGACCAGCCACACUGGAACUGGGACACGGUCCAGACUCCGACGGGAGGCAGCAGUGGGGAAUAUUGGACAAGGGGCGAAAGCCUGAUCCAGCCAUGCCGCGGGUGUGAAGAAGGUCUUCGGAUUGGAAAGCACUUUUAGUUGGGAGGAAGAGGAGUAAGCUAAUACCGAGCUGUGGUGACGGUACCAGCAGAAGAAGCACCGGCUAACUACGUG